rnacentral:rRNA from 1 species
GUAGGGAAUAUUGGGCAAUGGUCGGAAGACUGACCCAGCCAUGCCGCGUGCAGGAAGACGGCCCUCUGGGUUGUAAACUGCUUUUAUCUGGGAAGAAAAAGGCCAUGCGUGGCAAAUUGCCGGUACCAGAUGAAUAAGCACCGGCUAACUCCGUGCCAGCAGCCGCGGUAAUACGGAGGGUGCGAGCGUUGUCCGGAUUUAUUGGGUUUAAAGGGUGCGUAGGCGGCUGAUUAAGUCAGCGGUGAAAGAAUUCGGCUUAACCGGAGCAGUGCCGUUGAUACUGGUUGGCUUGAGUGUCGGAGGGGUACAUGGAAUUGAUGGUGUAGCGGUGAAAUGCAUAGAUACCAUCAGGAACACCGAUAGCGAAGGCAUUGUACUGGCCGACAACUGACGCUGAUGCACGAAAGUGUGGGGAUCGAACAGGAUUAGAUACCCUUGUAGUCC